rnacentral:lncRNA from 10 species
CUGGAGAAUGUGCUCCAUCAAAAUGAUAGAAGAAAUCAAAAAAGACUAAGGUGUGGGAUAUAGGAAACAGGAGCCAGCAUAACAGAGAUGCAAAGUGAAUCAGUCCCCAAAUGAUGGUGAAGAGAGAGCCCAAGGUAAUAGCUGUGCAUCAAACAUCAAGAGCAACCAGUCUGGACUGGCAAAGCAGUGUGAGAAAGUCCAGACAAAAUAGGCGAGACCAAGAAAUUACCAGGAUCUCCACUACUCUCCCAAGCGUCUCCAGUGCUCUCCCAACAGCCAGGAGCACCCUCCCUCUCCAAGCCCCCAGAACUUCCUGUUGCGCCAUAUGCCAGCGGUGGAGAGGAGCCAGCGGGGACUCCUGAGGUUGCAAGUCCGGGCGGCGCCGCGUUGGGGAAGGAAGCGGACUGCGGCGGGGCGGGUGUUUACCGUAACCGGCGCUGUCAUCGCUCCGGGACUCCUGCACGGGGAACACUGGGCGCACGGGGACGCGCAGGGGCGCGGAGGGACGGCCGUCUGGGCACUUCUCCAGCCGCCUCGGAAAGCCGCGACCCCCGGCUAGUCAGCGUCCGGGUCUGAGAUCUGUGCCCGUGGCAGCUCAAAACGCGCCUUCUCUCCUCCGGAUUCUCAGCUCAAGCCACCUCCGAACUCCUCUCCCUCCGGCCCGGAGCGGAAUCAGAGCUGCCUCCUCUCCCGGGGUGUUUCCCACCGCCCCGAGCUGAACCCCCGACCCCCGCUAGGUUUCCGCUCUGACACCACCUCCGCUAUGGCCGCAUCCCAGCUCUUGAAACGGGGGCUGCGGGACCUGCCCUGUAGUAGCGUACACUACCUUAGAUAGGAUAAUCAUCUUUGGGUGGAGACCAGAGAACUUGAAAGCCGGUAUUUCAUAAAUCCUAGCUAUUCUAGAUCCUCGUUAGAUGUAGUGUCCCUGGCCCCACCCACUUCUAUCUAAGGCCGGGGGCGCAGAUCUAGCGAAUCGCCUAAGGUCCUUGUUCCCCGCCAGUCGAGCAGCCUGAGCUUACCUGCAAGCGCUCCAAGACAGGUUGUUCUUUCAUCUUUGAUUUGCAGGCCCU